rnacentral:rRNA from 1 species
UACGUAGGGGGCAAGCGUUGUCCGGAAUCAUUGGGCGUAAAGAGCGUGUAGGCGGUUCGGUAAGUCCGCUCUGAAAGUCCAGGGCUCAACCCUGGAAAGCGGGUGGAUACUGCCGGGCUAGAAUCCGGAAGAGGCGAGUGGAACUCCUGGUGUAGCGGUGGAAUGCGCAGAUAUCAGGAGGAACACCGAUGGCGAAGGCAGGUCUCUGGGCCACUACUGACGCUGAUGAGCGAAAGCGUGGGGAGCAAACAGG